rnacentral:lncRNA from 10 species
UCAACUAGUCCUAAUUGAGCGCCCUGGGCGUUUCAGCUUCCCUGGGGCCCAAGUCGCUCUAACAGGAGUCGCGGUCCCGGCGUCUCCGGAGGCGCUGGCUUCUGAGUUAGGAAGUAUCAUUCCUUGAUUCAGGAUCAGGCUCGAGAGUUAACCCAUCUACGGCAGAAGAUGAAGCUUGGCAGAGUGGCCUCUGAGCUUCUCAUUCAGCAUGUCAAGAACACAGUAAAGGCCUUUGAGGAGCUACUCCACAGCAAUAACAUUGACCACUAUAUGGAGCAGCACUUCCGAGAGCAGCUGGCCAAAGGAAGCCAGCUGGCAGAGAGCCUUGCCAGAAAAUUCAGCACGGAUGACUGUACAACUAAGAAGAAUCAAGUAGGACAGGUGCCUUCGACUCUCAGUAUCUUGAGGAAGAUGCAUAAUAUGAGUAAAGUGACAGAAGUCCUAGAGACCAAGCGGGAUGCCCAGUCCCAGACUCAGCCCCAGAUCUGGUGCAACAACCACACCCUGUCUGCCCCACAUCACUCCCCGAGCAGCACGUCUCCACAGCUUGACAAGCAGGAAGUGCGUCCUUCAGUGACUGUAGUCAAUGCCAGCGCUGCCACUUCUGCUGAUUCAGCUGCUUUGCCCAGCAACCAAGGAGCCAGGUCUGCUCAGCCCUUCCAUCCUUCGAGCGGCACUGGCCAGCUGAGCAGGACACUAGAACACGGUAGCAGUGGCCCAUGGGAAGAGAUGAGGCCUCAAAAAAUGAAUGCAUCUGGAGACCUAGCCUCCUUCUCCUGUUUGUACCAGCCCAACUCCGAAACCUCUGGUAAAACACAAAGGUGCACUUGGUGAAAUCGAGCCCAUUGAUAGGAAUGACACAUUCCUUUCCUGGCCAGAGGAUUUUUUGAUUCCUCUGUUAGAACUUGGCUCAUAAAAAAUGAUGGGACAAUAUGUGGAUAAGCCAGACAGUGAGAACCAGCUCAGUGCUGGUUCUUUGUAAGUGCCUUCUCCUAGUCAUCCUACCUAGGAACUCACUCUGGGCAGGAGAGUAGGAGAAGUCAGGGACAUUCUGAGGUGCUCUACAAGGAGGAUAAGUUACCUCACAUUUAAAUGCUGGCUUCUCUCUGUACUACAACCUUCUUAAGCCUAGAUUAAGACUGCCCUGGAAUGCUAAGCUCAGAUUCCAUGGGGAAAGUCUUCCUUAGGUCAAGAGCUACUGUAGGAUGGAAAACUAUUUCUACAGAGUCACCCACCCCUACACACUCUUUCCACUCUUUGACACACACCAUGCAUACAACCACGAGCCAAUCCUGCCCCCAUAAACAUUGCUUUUGGAUUUGGAGCCAAGCAUCCUGGCACCCAGCAGCUAGGAGUGCAGCUAUUUAGAGGAAUGGCUUGAAGUAGCUCCAUUUCUGUGUCCCGGGUAAUAUAACAAUAUGACAUUUUAAAUUCUCAGAGAAAAACCUGACCCUACGCAAAAUCUCCCAGUGGGUAAAGCCUAUUCUCAGCCUCCUCCCUCUGUGCAUCUUUUUCCUUCCUUGGAGAUUGUUCCCUUCUCUCCUGUUCCCCCUUCAGAUCCUGACACCUCCCCAGGCUCUUUCAUGUUCCUUUUUUGCCAAAGCUGGUUAAAGGAGAACAUUCACUAUUACUCAUUAUUCACAGCCUGGUUUAAU